UUUCAUUAAAAGUCUUCCAUCAUAAAAGAAAUCAGACAAACUUUAAUAAAAAGUGGAAAGAAAAAAACAAAUGAAGAGAGAGAACUCAAUAUCUUCUCUUUCAUUCCCCCAAAAACACAGUGCCAAGUCCAAACAUCCAAAUAGAAAUUACUUAGAUCUAAACAUCCAUCAAUCAACAAAUAAAACACAGUGUGUCUUGGUACCCACACAACACAACAAUGGAAUAAAACAGAUUGGGAAUGAAGAAGACGAGACUACCUCAUAUCGAUGAUAACGGAUUUGUGAGACAUGAUUCAUUAUGGUGGAAAUGGCUUGGAGAUGAAGACACAAGACUAGAAGAAUGGUGGUGGUUUUGGGCAAGACUUAAAUUGAAGUUUGAUGGAAAACUAUGAGGACUUCUAAAUUCAUGGUCUAUACUUAAAUGUGUUUUUUGUUUUGUUUUUAAUGUGUAAAUUCAAAUGUACAUCAAUUUAGAGCAUAAUAGAAUUUUCUUCCAA